CAAGGAAUGGGACUAAUCCAAGAAUUUGUUACUAUGGUAACAAAUGAGUCCCCAAACAACUCUCUGAAUCUGGUCCUGAUGGCCAGCUGGCAGCUUGAGCAUUCUUAACGUGUAGUCUCAGCGGUAACACCCUUGAAGAAUAGAGUGUGAGGGAGUCACUCUUGAUUCCUUCUGACCGUAAUUGGCAAAUGCCGUUUAUACUCACAGCCCAUUGGCUAGAACUGAUCACAUAUCCCCAAUGUAACUGCAAUGCAAGGGCAUCUAUGUAGGUGAGCCACGGAACAUACACAUGUCUUACUUGAUUAAAAACUGGAGAGAGUGAAGGAAAAAAAGUGUGGGAUUCCUGGAAUAACCACUGCCAAGAUCUGAGGAUGGAUCAACAAAAGUAAAUGGCUGUUUUGCCCUUAUGGCUGCCUGAAAACACACACAUAUUUCAGAGAUGGCUGCAUAUUUCGUGGUAGCUUUGUAUUCCAAGGGCUGAGUUCUGCAAACAAACUGAGCAAAGUACAGCAUGUGCCCCUUCAGGUGGUUUUUGGAGCUCAUCAGGCCUGUGAAGUGCCUCGCUCCCACUUUGCUUUCUGCUAUGAUUGGAAACUUCCUGCGCACCCCGUUCCCAGAAGCAGAAGCUGCUAUGCUUCCUGUACAGCUUGAAGAACUGAACCGUGAGCCAGUUAACAUUUUUUCUUUAUAAAUUACCCAGUCUUAGGUAUUCCUAUAUAGCAAUGCAGGAAUUGACUCAUACAGACAGUAAUCUUUCUGAUGAAGAGAAUGUUUUAGAAAUUGAAACACCCUCUUGUCACUUGAUACUGGAAAGUGGGAGAAAUGGGGAGAUGCUCAAAGAGUAUAAACUUUCAGUUAUAAGAUGCGUAAGCUCUGGGGAUCUAAUGUACAGCAUGGUGAUUAUAGUUAAUAAUCUGUUUACAUGAAGAUUGUUAAGAGAGCAGAUUUUUAGUGUCCUCAUCUCUUUCUUUUUCUCUCAUACACACAUGUAAGUAUGGGUGGUAAUGGAUGUGUUAAUUAAUUUGUGGUAAUCACACAAUGUAUAUGCAUAUCAAAUCAUCACAUUGUAUCCCUUAAAUAUGUUUAAUAUUUUGGCAAUUAAAUAUUUUAAAAUAAAAACAAAGCCAGGGCUGCUAAAUCACUCACACUAUAGAAGUCACAACACACAAAACAAACCUGACUUAGCUCAUGGGAGCUACUACAUUAUUUGUUGAUGCAUUUGCUUUAUGGCCUAGAAUGGAAUUUUAAUAAACAUAUGCUCCGGUAGACACACUCAGAACCAGUAUUGCAUAUCUGGGUUGCUGCUUUCCUGCCAAGCCUUAGCACUCUUCACCUCCCUCAGGGCCCCCAGGAAGGCAGAAUGCACACAUCACUACUUAAAGUCUUUCUUGCCUUGGGUGCUUUCUCCACAAAUACCAACAUAUAUAUGUCAAGUAUGAGCAGGUAAACCCGCUCUCUGCCAUCUCUCUUAGCUUUAUUUUCAUCCACAGACAUAAAGAUAAACCAUCCAAUUGGAAAUCACCAUACUCUAAUGCAAAUACACUGAAAUACUUAGCAGAGUCUAAAUUCAUGAGUCUAUGAUUGUUCUGUUUCAAAAGAAGGACCAAUCUCAUGAAUUUAAAGAUUUGCCUUACAUAUUAGGACCCAGUGAUUUUUGUGUGGUGAGGGAUUCUAACAUUUGAUACAUUAUGAUAUGACUGUACAAUUUAUUACUUGGUUGAUAAUAGGUGUCAUCCUUUAAAGUGGGACCACUUUAAAACUGACGUGUGAUUUAGAAUUUUUACUGUCAAUGUUCGCCUCACUUGUAUUAUAAACUUCUUGUAUUUAAGGAUUGUGUAUUUUGUACCUUUUUUUUUUGUAUCCCUAUACUCUCUCAGUCUUUGCCUUAUCAUGGAGCUCAGAAAAGUCCUAUACAUAGGAAAUCUUUAAUAAAAGAUUUUCUUUAAGUACUGUGGGACUAGAUUAUUCUGAACACAUGGGUUCAAACCAGUUUAAAGCAGCUAGAUGUAUUUUUGUUAGCUCCUUAUCUAUCCUAAGAUUUUUUUUCUUUUAUUGUACUUUGGGCUCUGGGGUACAUGUGCACAUCCUGCAUCCUGCAGAAUUGUUGCAUAGGUACAUACAAGCCAUGUUGGUUCGCUGUCUUAAAUCUCUCACUAAAUUACUUGCUUUAUACGUUUUAGUGUGAGUAUGCUAUCAGGAUGAUUUGACUGCAAACAACAGAAAAAUCAAACAAAAAUAGCCUAAACCAAAAAGAAGAAUGAUUAUUUCACAUUCCAAGAAGUUUUGGAGGUGAAUGGUUAAAUGGCUAAUUAGUUUAGAAGCUCAACAAUAUCACCCAGCACCCAUUUUCACUAUGGCUAAAGCCCUGGAUCCCUCAGGCAUGCACCAUGGCAGCAGCAGUUGCAGUAAAGACACCCUUACACCACAAUGCUCCAUGACCAGAGAGAGGUCUCCUUUCUCCUGCCCCUUUCCAGAGGUUCCGUGGAAGACUUCCUUUCACCUCCCGUUUUUCAUUCCUAAAGCAGUCCCUGGCAACAGGGAUCGAUUUAUCACAAUGGGUGCAGAGCAAUUAAGAUUCACCACUAGGUGAGUACUUCGGAAAACACUUGGCCACCCAGUAUAUAAACAAAUCUGGUACUCUUGUCAAGAAAGAGGUGAGUAAUUCCCAGCAGCCAAUAGUGUCUGCGACAAGUGAAAUAUCUCACCAGAGAAAACUGAGUAGGUACUACAUGAUUGUGUGUUUUCUCUGUUUUCUGCCUUUGCCUUUUCCAUUUGGUAAGACUCCCCCAUGUUCCUCUUUGUGGCUCUUCCCUGGAUUUGUUCAGAUACAGGUGGCAAUAUGCCAGAAAGGUAUGACCCCAGUCCUAGGAGUCAAAUUCGUGAUGAGCCUUGCAUAGUCAGGACAAUCCCAAUUCCAUUUGCCAGUGAAUCAUUUAGGGAGCUCCAUGUGACUCAGUUCUAGUCACCAAGGUGGAAGAGAAAUUCUCUUGAGGGACACCUGGGAAAGAUUUUUCUGCCUGAUAAAACAGGAAGUAAGCAAGGGUUCUGCUACCCCAUUGGCUUUUUGCCUUUGAACUUGGCUGUGGGAAGACAUGAUGCUUAGAGUUGCUGCAGCUAUCUCUGACCUUGGGCAAAACAACCCAAUACGCAGGAGGGCAGAACAAGCAGCAAGAAGAAUCCUGAGUCUUGUGGAUGUUGUUGAGCAGCUGAACCAACCCUACGACUGCUUCCCUCCAGACUCCUUAGCUUUGCAAACCAUGAAGCUCUAUUGUUUAAGCCAGGCGUGGAUGGCUAUUGUCACUUGCCAUUGAAAGCACCAGGACAGAGUCCUCUUUCUAGAAACAGAGCCACAAAACCUUUAUUAUGGUAAAUGCACAUAAAGAAUAUAAAAGUUUUCUUUAUAUUUCUCUUUAAAGUAAUAGCUGAAGUCUGCCUCAGGUAAAAAGACAAAUAGAAAACAUAAAUGUAUAUAUAAUUCAAGAACAAUAAAUAUUCAUUUUAAAAUGAAUAAAUGUUCUGUAGGAUACUGU